ACAGUGAUAGUUCAGUGGUAGAAUUCUUGCCUCCCAUACAGGAGACCUGGGUUCGAUUCCUGGCCAGUGCA
rnacentral:tRNA from 1 species